rnacentral:rRNA from 1 species
CCGUGCCGGCAGCUUACCAUGCAGUCGAACGGUAGCACAGAGAGCUUGCUCUCGGGUGACGAGUGGCGGACGGGUGAGUAAUGUCUGGGAAACUGCCCGAUGGAGGGGGAUAACUACUGGAAACGGUAGCUAAUACCGCAUAACGUCGCAAGACCAAAGUGGGGGACCUUCGGGCCUCACACCAUCGGAUGUGCCCAGAUGGGAUUAGCUAGUAGGUGGGGUAAUGGCUCACCUAGGCGACGAUCCCUAGCUGGUCUGAGAGGAUGACCAGCCACACUGGAACUGAGACACGGUCCAGACUCCUACGGGAGGCAGCAGUGGGGAAUAUUGCACAAUGGGCGCAAGCCUGAUGCAGCCAUGCCGCGUGUAUGAAGAAGGCCUUCGGGUUGUAAAGUACUUUCAGCGAGGAGGAAGGCAUUAAGGUUAAUAACCUUAGUGAUUGACGUUACUCGCAGAAGAAGCACCGGCUAACUCCGUGCCAGCAGCCGCGGUAAUACGGAGGGUGCAAGCGUUAAUCGGAAUUACUGGGCGUAAAGCGCACGCAGGCGGUCUGUCAAGUCGGAUGUGAAAUCCCCGGGCUCAACCUGGGAACUGCAUUCGAAACUGGCAGGCUAGAGUCUUGUAGAGGGGGGUAGAAUUCCAGGUGUAGCGGUGAAAUGCGUAGAGAUCUGGAGGAAUACCGGUGGCGAAGGCGGCCCCCUGGACAAAGACUGACGCUCAGGUGCGAAAGCGUGGGGGAGCAAACAGGAUUAGAUACCCUGGUAGUCCACGCCGUAAACGAUGUCGACUUGGAGGUUGUUCCCUUGAGGAGUGGCUUCCGGAGCUAACGCGUUAAGUCGACCGCCCUGGGGAGUACGGCCGCAAGGUUAAAACUCAAAUGAAUUUGACGGGGGGCCCGCACAAGCGGUGGGAGCAUGUGGUUUAAUUCGAUGCAACGCGAAAGACCUUUACCUAGCUCUUGACUUCCAGAGAAUUUAGCAAAAUGCCUUUGUGCCCUUCGGGAACUCUGAAACAGGUGCUUGCAGUGGUCUGCCUU